GACGAACGCUGGCGGCGUGCCUAAUACAUGCAAGUUGAGCGCUGAAGGUUGGUACUUGUGCCGACUGGAUGAGCAGCGAACGGGUGAGUAACGCGUGGGGAAUCUGCCUUUGAGCGGGGGACAACAUUUGGAAACGAAUGCUAAUACCGCAUAAAAACUUUAAACACAAGUUUUAAGUUUGAAAGAUGCAAUUGCAUCACUCAAAGAUGAUCCCGCGUUGUAUUAGCUAGUUGGUGAGGUAAAGGCUCACCAAGGCGAUGAUACAUAGCCGACCUGAGAGGGUGAUCGGCCACAUUGGGACUGAGACAAGGCCCAAACUCCUACGGGAGGCAGCAGUAGGGAAUCAUCGGCCAUGGACGAAAGGCUGACCGAGCAACGCCGCGUGAGGGAAGAAGGUUUUCGGAUCGUAAAACUCUGUUGGUAGAGAAGAACGUUGGUGAGAGUGGAAAGCUCAUCAAGUGACGGUAACUAAACAGAAAGGGACGGCUAACUACGUG
rnacentral:rRNA from 1 species